ACGUUAGGGUUUAAAUUCUGCAGCAGCUCCACUUGAGGAGGGCAGAUGAAAGCCGCGUGCACGCGUUGGCCGCUGUCUUCCAGGAAGCCUUAGGACGCACUGGACGCUCUAGCGACGUCGGAAACCGAGUGUGGACAGCCACAAGGGACCGUCGCACCCCAAGCACAGGACAGGACGGAGCAGAGACGAGAAAGGGAGAUGCCCGCGGGUCUGGUCUUCAAGUCUCAAUGAAAAAUGGAAGAGACAAGGCGUCGGCAGCACAGGCAGCUCCUUCAGCGGUAUCCAGCCUGGGGAGAGGAGAGAGGCGUCCGGUCACCUGCAGGCUCACACCCACCCGCCCUGCCCUGGAUCGGGGCCCUAACAGGUACCUCCUGCGCCACUUCCUAGGAGCCUCUAAAGGGCCCGGGUACCCCGAGGAGUCUAGUGUGGGGGGCUGAGGAUGAGCAGUGAGGCCUCCCCCGAGAACGGCAGCAACAGGACAGGAGGAGAGGAGACAGGGUGCUGGGCCAGGGCGAGACAGGAGUGGAAGGGACUCAUUCGCCGGCCAAGGUGGGGAGCAGGGGGCUGCGUCUGCACGAGCUCCGACCGUGACGCACCGUUUGCUCCCCAGACUCCUGGGUGCGCGCGGGAUUUCACCAGCGCCCCUGAGGUUUCAGAAGCUGCCCAUCCUCAGAGUUCAGACGUCUCGUUUAAUUUUCAAAGGCCUAACGACCCCGAUUCAUUUUAACUUUUUAUAGUCCUCAACUUUUUAAAGCUCUUCCAGUGCCUUCUGUAGCUUAUGUCGAGUUUUGCUGGGACUUGACUGUGUGUGUGUGUGUGUGUAUUUUUGGCCAAGGCGUGAUGUGGGAUCUCAGUUCCCAGACCAGGGACUGAACCCUGGGCCACAGCGGUAACAGUGAUAAGCCCUCACCAGUAGACCACCAGGGAACUCCCCCCGCCCCGACCGCGCGCCUUCUCUUGAGAUCUGAGCCCGUGGAUUAUGGAAAUAUGCUCUGUGUGGCCCACCCAGGGCCCAGGCUAGUAACCUUGGAGGAAAGCUGGUUUCUGGAAACUCGCUUCGGGCAGCGAGUACUGUGAACUUAGAGCUCUUUUCAAAUUGCUUGAGAUGGGCUGAAUUCAGGCGGCAGCCCCUGGUGUUACGGCGAUGGGAGGCAGAGGAAUGGGAGAGACGGUUGUUUGCCACCUGGGAGUGGGGCGCAGUGGCUUCUGUGUACUUCUGUACAUAUUUUUAAGUGGACAGAGAAAAUCCCCCUCAACUGAGGUUCAAGGUGCUCCUGCUGGAUUGAUAGUCGCUGCUUCCUAUUUCCAUUCUAACACCAGUCAAGUGAUAUUAAAAUCAUACCCAAGGAAGUUCCCAGCAGUAAUGAGCCUGACUAGCAUCCAUGAGAACGCGGGUUCAAUCCCUGGCCUUAGAUCCUGGAUGGAGGAUCUGGCGUUGCCGUGAGCUGUGGUGUAGGUCACAGACACGGCUCAGAUCCCGCAUUGCUCUGGCUGUGGUGUAGGCCGGCGGCUACAGCUCCGAUUCAGCCCCUAGCCUGGGAGCCUCCAUAUGCAGCAGGUUCGGCCCUGAAAA
ensembl:lncRNA